UCAUAAGAGAACAGCAAUUGUGUCAUCUUUCUUUUAUGAAAAUUCUGUCUAUGCUGUUCACUUCCGUCCGUUGUUGGAAGCUGCGUCUUAUCAGUGCAAAAGUGGAGUGGAUAUUAAAUGCUUUUCCUGCAUGCUUAUUAAUCUUUCUCAGUGGUCUACCUUAUUCUUAGUGCCUUCUUUACAAAUAUUAUGAUGUUGCAUGGCAAGGUUGAAAUUGCAUCAGUUGGACUUCAAACAUAAUUCUCUUCCUAAUCUGCAGCAAAACUUCUCCUUUUCCUUGCUUUAUCUCUCCUAUUAGGUCGCCAUUAUGCAUUUGAGAAGGCUCAUGAGAUUGACCCAACAUCAGCUGGACGGGGUGUUCGCCAGUUUAAGACCAAUUUCUUAUACAGACUUGAGAAGAUUCUUUGUCAGAGGAUGUAAAACGAGUUGGGAAUCUAGCUGUUAGAUAUAGAAUCUGAGACCUUGCUUUAAUGUCCAAGAUAAGUAAACAAAGCAAGUCUGAUCACCAAAGUAGCAGCAAUAAAUCGAAAGGGCAGGGAAUGGCACUGCCUCGUAGCUCGCAGCAGCCGGAAAGUAAGCAAGGUCAAAGCGGGCAGAUCCAAAGUGUAAUUAGUGGAAGCUUGGUAAAAAGUUUGGCGGUCUUGGAUGAAUUCAAGUAUGGAUUUCCAUCGAAUGGCUUGUCUGUCACCUCAAAUAAGUGGUGGGGAAGUGGCAGUCCAGGAGAUUUUGCGUACAUAGAUGCAACUGAAACUGGCAGAGAAUGCAGACCGAAGUGGCGGCAAUGUGGCAGAUGAUGGAUCCAAUGCUGAAAAGAAACUGAAGGUGAGAAAGAGACCAGCAAUGCCACUCUCCGGGGUGCUAGUUUGCCAAGGGCUAUAAGAAAAAGAGCCCUCGAAGAAGGAAGGGAGGCACUCAAGCUGGGUGUUUUUAUGAGCCACCAUGCUCAUAAGAUAGGCAAGGAAGAGAAAUCAGUGAUGCUCAAUAUUUUUUGAUGUUCACUGCCAAAGGGAUGGAUCAAUGAUUAAGUUUAAUCUGAGGGAUACUCAAAAAGUCAAAAACUGUAAUGUAAGUGAUUGACUUCUUAAUUACUGUAGUUGGACAUAAUGCUCGAAAGAAAUGUUGCUUAUUUCUCUCAAAUUCUGACUCUCAAAUGUUGCGGUACUCCAUUCAGUAUUAUAUUCUUUUCAUCCGUCUGUUGCUUCUGUUGGUAUUUUCAUUUGUUGAGCAGCAAGAAAAGAAGAUUGAUUUGCUGGAAUGGGAUUUACAUUUCUCAAUCC